rnacentral:rRNA from 1 species
GACGAACGCUGGCGGCGUGCCUAACACAUGCAAGUCGAGCGGAGCUAAUAGUAAUAUUAGUUUAGCGGCGGACGGGUGAGUAACGCGUGGGCAACCUACCUCAAACUGGGGGAUAACACAGGGAAACUUGUGCUAAUACCGCAUAACAUCACGAGAUGACAUCAUUUUGUGAUCAAAGGAGAAAUCCGGUGAGAGAUGGGCCCGCGUCCAAUUAGCUAGUUGGUGAUGUAACGGACCACCAAGGCGACGAUUGGUAGCCGAACUGAGAGGUUGAUCGGCCACAUUGGGACUGAGAUACGGCCCAGACUCCUACGGGAGGCAGCAGUGGGGAAUAUUGCGCAAUGGGGGAAACCCUGACGCAGCAACGCCGCGUGAAGGAUGAAGGUUUUCGGAUCGUAAACUUCUUUGAUGGGGGACAAACAAAUGAACGGUACCCCAAAAACAAGCCACGGCUAACACGUG